GACGAACCGAGCGAACGUUGUUCGGAAUUACUGGGCGUAAAGGGUUCGUAGGUGGCUUGCUCAGUCAGACGUGAAAUCCCUCAGCUUAACUGGGGAACUGCGUCUGAUACUGGCGAGCUUGAGUGCAGGAGAGGAACGCGGAAUUCCAGGUGUAGCGGUGAAAUGCGUAGAUAUCUGGAGGAACACCGGUGGCGAAGGCGGCGUUCUGGACUGCAACUGACACUGAGGAACGAAAGCCAGGGGAGCAAACGGG
rnacentral:rRNA from 1 species